GGCUUUUCUACCCGGCGCUAUCAGCUAGUGUGCUGUGUAGUGUUUCAUAGCCCACAGUGGUACCUUAACUUCUUUUGUAUUAUCCCCACAGCCUUCAAGCUACUUGAAAGCUCAAGUCAGAAGUUUCUACAGGGACUGGUGUAUUUAAUUGGCAACCUGCUAGGAUUGGCCUUGGCUGUUUACAAGUGCCAGUCAAUGGGGCUGCUGCCAACUCAUGCUUCUGACUGGCUGGCUUUUAUUGAACCACCUGAGCGUAUGGAGUAUACAGGCGGGGGUCUCAUCUUAUGACCUGACCCCAUUUCCAGAAAUCAACUGCUGCUCUAGGCGUCUGCCUUGCGAUUGUGAAUUAUUCUUCCUUCUGUUGACUCCAAAACAUGCUGGAUUUUAACUGCAUGUUGCUGCAUUGUGGAACAGUAGGAAGCAUUUACAGAAUGUUACCCAGAACAAGAAGGACUGAUGUGCUUUGGAGGAGUUGAAGCAAAAGACUUGCCUUAGUAAAUUUCCCUUCUGUUAAAAGCAAAAUAAAAAUGUUAACUUUUAAAUGUG